rnacentral:lncRNA from 1 species
GAAUUCAGUCAUCUUCUACCACUUACUUCUCUUCUACCACUUCGGAUCAGCAUGGAUGCCCAGGGCCGCCCCCUGCACCCCCAUUUCCCCAGGAGACCCGGCUUGGGGCGCAGAGGAUUAAGGAGAGUAAGCGGCCUUUUUCCUGGGAAGAAGACAGGCCUGAGCAGACACAGCAAACCGGCUGCCCGGCGGGAACUGGGGUCCCGGAGUGCCCCCUAGUGGACGCAGCGGGGCAUGACCGCGCACCCGGUGUGGACAGGACCAAAACCAA